rnacentral:rRNA from 1 species
AGUGAACGCUGGCGGUAGGCCUAACACAUGCAAGUCGAACGGCAGCACAGUAAGAGCUUGCUCUUACGGGUGGCGAGUGGCGGACGGGUGAGGAAUACAUCGGAAUCUACUUUUUCGUGGGGGAUAACGUAGGGAAACUUACGCUAAUACCGCAUACGACCUACGGGUGAAAGCAGGGGAUCUUCGGACCUUGCGCGAUUGAUUGAGCCGAUGUCGGAUUAGCUAGUUGGCGGGGGAAAGGCCCACCAAGGCGACGAUCCGUAGCUGGUCUGAGAGGAUGAUCAGCCACACUGGAACUGAGACACGGUCCAGACUCCUACGGGAGGCAGCAGUGGGGAAUAUUGGACAAUGGGCGCAAGCCUGAUCCAGCCAUACCGCGUGGGUGAAGAAGGCCUUCGGGUUGUAAAGCCCUUUUGUUGGGAAAGAAAAGCAGCAGGUUAAUACCCCGCUGUUCUGACGGUACCCAAAGAAUAAGCACCGGCUAACUUCGUG